CAUUAUUAUCGAGCCACUAUAAAAAUAAUUUCACAUCAGAAAAAUAUUAUUUGAAAAUGUAUUAUUCAAAAUUACUAAUAAUAUUUCGUUGAUUGUGUGACUUGUUAAAAUAACACAAGGUAAGGCGAGCCGCCAACAAAUCAAUGGAGGGCCGUAAUCUGUGCAUCCCUGCUCGAAAGAAAAGCAUAUAUGACGAAAGAAUUAUGUAUAAAAAGAGUCAUUAUUUACUUCGUGUAGUAAAGGACAUUGGCAGUCAUUCCUUAUCGUAUUUAGAUGUUUUAUGAGUUGAGAUCUCAGGAUUUCCGUGCUCGCUUGCAGUACUGUGCAUUUGUGUUGGUGAAUUUUUAUGAUGACUAACAUUAUAUUGACAAUUGAUAGUGGUCUGAUGAUGUCAUGUUCUUCUCAAUGGACAUAUAAACAAAUAAGACAUGCGUUUUCUAGGCUGGGAAAAGCCAGACGAGUACGUGCCACCAUCCACUCAGACCACUUCACCCAGAGACCGUGUGGGCAGCAGUUUUAAGCCAUGGCCCUAUUUCAUUCAGGAUGCACGUCGUAACACAAUAGACAUAAACUGCUGCUGCCUGUAUGUUGUUAUGGUAUACAGGCAGCAUGUCAUAUAUCUGUUUAAAGCAGAUCUACAAACAUUUUCUGAACUAAAUAAUUUGGAUUUUGAUAAGCAAGCGUUCCAGCAGGACGAAGUCAUCGCGCGCACAUAGGCUAAGGAAACCGGGCACUGUUAGAGGAACUGUUUUCAUUUUGGCUUGUGUCAAAAAGAUCUGCCUCUCCUUAUCACUCUCGAAGUUAAGAUCUCACAGUAUGCGAUCCACUUUUAUGGGAAAUGUAAGAAAAGAAAAAUGUUUCACACAAACUUCACGAAUUCUAUAAGAGCUUCGCACAAACAUUGAAUCAGUGAUUAGUGAUGUAAUCCCCGAAUAAUGCUCUGAUAUAGUUAACCAUAUAAUCGAUCGCAUGGAAUGUCUUUCGCAAUGGAGGAAGACAUGUAGAAUAUGUAAUCAUACGAUAAAAAGCCCUAACUGGUAUAGUAUAAUGUAUAAAUGACAUGAACAUUUUGGUCACCAUUUUUUUCAUCUCGCUGUAU
rnacentral:lncRNA from 1 species